rnacentral:rRNA from 1 species
UACGUAGGUGGCAAGCGUUGUCCGGAAUUAUUGGGCGUAAAGCGCGCGCAGGUGGUUCCUUAAGUCUGAUGUGAAAGCCCACGGCUCAACCGUGGAGGGUCAUUGGAAACUGGGGAACUUGAGUGCAGAAGAGGAAAGUGGAAUUCCAAGUGUAGCGGUGAAAUGCGUAGAGAUUUGGAGGAACACCAGUGACGAAGGCGACUUUCUGGUCUGUAACUGACACUGAGGCGCGAAAGCGUGGGGAGCAAACAGG